rnacentral:RNase_P_RNA from 1 species
AUGGUAGAACGUGUUAUCGCUGUUCUUUGAAAAGAGAAUGGAGGAAAGUCCGGACAGGAUAGAGCACUGUGCUGUUGAAAAACAGAUGUUUGUAAGGAUAUGGCAAUGUAACAGAAAAUAACCGCCCUGUUUUUACAGGGUAAGGGUGAAAAGGUGAGGUAAGAGCUUACCGCAAUUUGUGGCAACACAGUUGGCAAGAUAACCCGCAGCCUGCAAGACCAUGUACACCGGCGUCAAGAGCUGCUCGCUCGUGUCGGGGGGUAGGUCGCACUUCCUGCUGAACAGGAGACAGAUAAAUGAUAACGAUUCCUUUAACGGAAUACAGAAUCCGGCUUACAGUUCUACCAUUUUA